UCAUUUUGAGUUUCCGGUAAACUCUUUGUUUCCUUUCAUGUGUCCAACCAAUUAUUAUUGGGUUAUUCACCAUGGCAACCAGUGAAAUGUAUUUCUGAGUUAGGUUGGCUUGUUUUCAGAAUUCACAACGAAAUGCCUCCAGCUGUCCAUCACCACUGUAAAUAUAAAGAGUGGUUAUAGAGGAAAAAACGUCAGAAAGCAAAUUCAGUUGAUGUGGAGCAGAAGACAAGAAAGAAGAAGGAGAGGGGCACUUCAUCCCCCUCUCCAAUUCCAUCUGACCGUUCUGAACGGAAUGGCUCCGCUACCUCUGACCCCUCACCCUCUGACCAACUCUCCUCCCUCCAUCCACCUCCCUCUCCUGUUAAAUGUUCCUCUCAGCCUUGCUCUCCUGCUGAACAACCCUCUGUACCCCGGUCACCUGCCAAAAACCCUUCCCCAGUUAAAUUCUCUCCAGUGGUGUCCCAGCCUAGUUCUCCCUCUCCUACCAACCCUCUGGACCGUCAUGGAGACACCAGUCAGGAGGGCACAACAGUCAGACCUCUGUCUCUUCAGGAACACUCUAGUCCAAUGCCCCAGAGACCAGUCUCAGCCACCAGAAGCAUGACUCUUCCCAGGGCCAGCUCAGCCACCAGAAGCAUGACUCUUCCCAGGGCCAGCUCAGCCACCAGAGGGUCAGAAGAGACCCAGGGGGCCAGAGGAGAACGCGGGGAACUGGUCAACAUGGAACUUCUUGGGUUGCCUAACAUUGGCAACACUUGCUUCCUUAACGCCACCCUGCAGUGCCUCCUGGUCCUGCCUUCCUUCUCAAAGGAAAUCCUGCACCAGGAACAACUCUGGAGCUCCUCCCCCUUCUCCAACCUGCUCAGGUGUCUGUCUGAUGUGCACCGUUCGGGUCUACCUGACAGUGUGGUAAACCAGGCCUCAAAAGCAGACCUCAUGUGGAAGGUCAAGUACUCCUUGUCGGGAUACGAUUUGAAGUAUCUGGGGGACACGCAACAGGACGCACACGAGUUACUUGUCAAUAUGCUGUGCCAGCUGAAGGAGGAGGGCAUGAUUCUGAAGACACUCGGGAUGAACUAUACCUGCCCUGUUUCCCAGCUGGAGUUCCAGCUUGUGUCGGUGCGCACAUGUACCAGCUGUGGGCGCGAGUCGUCCACCAGAGAGGACUACAACCACCUCUCAUUGGACAUCAGCCCUGAGCGCACCUUGCUGAACAGCCUAGCACUCACUUUCAAAAGUGAACAGGUUGAAUUCACAUGUGAGGGCUGUAAAGGCCUCCACGCCUCAAAGGUGGAGCAGUUCCACACACUGCCUCUUGUGCUGGUUCUGCAUCUGAAGAGGUUUGGAGGACCUGGGGGGUUGGAGAAGCUGGAGGCUCCUCUUUUGUUUCCUUCGGAGCUGAGGCUCUCCACCCUCUGUGGGGACAUGGUGCCCCACCUGCACAGUGCCAGCCCACAGGCCCUCACCAACCAGGCCCCCAGCAUCCAGGGGUCCAUCCCCCAGACCCUCGCCAGCCAAGUCUCCAGCCCACCUGGAGAGGCCAAAGACAGCGCCCUCUGCUGUUCAGAAGCAGAAGCCAGUACAGUCAGUGAAUGGUUACUACCAGCUGACUGGCGUAGUCUCUCAUUUGGGAGGCUCCGCAAACUCCGGGCACUACAUUAGUGACAUAUUGCAUGCCAGUGGAAACUGGUUCUGCUGUAACGACAGCCAGGUGUCAAUGUCCAAUGAAGCCACUGUGCUGAGGACCAGAGCCCGGAGUGCCUACAUGCUCUUCUAUAUGUUCAGGGCAAUAGAGCGGGAGGCCCCUGCACACAGGGCCUAACAGGGCCACCAGCAUCAGCCCCAGCCUAAACAGGGGCAGCACCUGGACCAGCCUCAAAACACUCAGACCUGUCUCAACAGGGGUAGUACCAGGCCCAGUCUCAAAACCCCCAGCCCAGCCUCAACACUCACACACCUGCCUCGAAAGGGGUAGCAUUUGGCCCAACAUCAACAACCCAGCCCAGCCUCAACAUGGGAAGAUCAAGACCCAGCCCCAACACCCUCAGACCUGCCUCAACAGGUGCAGCAUUCGGCCCAACUUCAAUCAUGCUGCUCUUCAACACUAGCAUGAACAUUCUUUCAGUAGCUUAUGUCAUAAAUACCUGCCCUUGAUUUGACUACUUCACCUAAUGUAUAAAGCGUAUAAAGUAUACACACUAAAUGUAGUACACAUGUAGAUGUGGUGGAUAGAGAGUGUGAUUAUUUAGAGGGUACAACAUCCCUUCUAUUUGGUUUGGUUUGAAAUCCUCCUGUUGUGAAAUACACUGUGGUGUCUAACCUCUUAUUCAGCAUGGUCACACCGGAAGACCUGGAAUAUUAAUAAUGACAAGCAAAUGUAAGAAAAUCCCAUUUAAGAUGAUUCUGUUGACCGUUGUAACUCUUUAACUCAGGAAGAUUUAUGGUCUGGGAUUCAGGCCGGUCCUAACAGGAAACGUGACAAAGUGAAGCAGCUGUAAUGGAGCCUUCUAACACCCAAUCAGGUCUGGAGGAGGAAUGUCACAAAGAUUCAGAGAUACUAUGAGUAUCUUUUGAAGUUACUCUCCAGUUGUAUCCAUUUGAAUAAAUACAGACAUGAAAAUGCUGGGCUAUGGCUGUAACCUUGGUUCUGUGAGUAGAGUAACGGGUCACCAAACAAGUUAUGGGAACUCUACAUUCUGUCUUUUCUUAUCUCACGUACACUCCCUUACGUAUUUAUUUUGACAGUGAAGCUACAACUUUUCAUUUGGCUCUAUACGCCAGCGUUUUGGAUUGGAGAUCAAAUGUUUCAUAUGGGGUGACUGUACAGAAUGUCACCUUUAAUUUAAUGAAU